CGACGGCAGCAAAGCCGCGGCGGCGGAGGAGGAGGACCCCGGCGAGGGCCUCGGCGAAGGCGGCGCCUGGUCUUGCUUGAGCUGGUCGACGGUGGCCUGGUCGGUGUGCAUGGACUUGUCGAGGAUGGUGUCGUCGAUGCCGCUGCCGAAGAGCGCGGCGGGGAGGGAGAUGGUGCCGGGGGUGGCGCUGCCGAAGGCGGAGAAGGCGCGGGCGACGACGUCGGUGCCAUUGUUGAACUGGAAGUGCACCAUGCCCUUGGGGAACACGAACAUGUCGCCGGUCUG
rnacentral:lncRNA from 1 species